rnacentral:misc_RNA from 1 species
GAUGAAGAACGUAGCAAAAUGCGAUACUUGGUGUGAAUUGCAGAAUCCCGUGAACCAUCGAGUUUUUGAACGCAAGUUGCGCCCGAAGCCUUUUGGCCGAGGGCACGUCUGCCUGGGCGUCACACAUCGCGUCGCCCCCCACAACUCUCCGUAAAGGGAACUUGUGUUUUGGGGGCGGAUAUUGGUCUCCCGUGCUCAUGGCGUGGUUGGCCGAAAUAGGAGUCCCUCCGGUGGACGCACGAACUAGUGGUGGUCGUAAAAACCCUCGUCUUUUGUUUCGUGCCGUUAGUCGCGAGGGAAACUCUUUAAAAACCCAAAUGUGCCGUCUCUUGACGGCGCUUCGACCGCGACCCCAGGUCAGGCGGGACUACCCGCUGAGUUUAAGCAUAUCAAUAAGCGGAGGA